rnacentral:rRNA from 1 species
UACGUAGGCAGCGAGCGUUGUUCGGAGUUACUGGGCGUAAAGGGUGUGUAGGCGAUCUUUUAAGUUUGGUGUGAAAUCUCCCGGCUUAACCGGGAGGGUGCGCCGAAUACUGAGGGACUAGAGUGCGGAAGGGGCAAUCGGAAUUCUUGGUGUAGCGGUGAAAUGCGUAGAUAUCAAGAGGAACACCUGAGGUGAAGACGGGUUGCUGGGCCGACACUGACGCUGAGUGCGCGAAAGCCAGGGGAGCAAACGGG